rnacentral:rRNA from 1 species
AUUGAACGCUGGCGGCAGGCCUAACACAUGCAAGUCGAGCGGAGCGGCGGACGGGUGAGUAAUGCCUAGGAAUCUGCCUGGUAGUGGGGGAUAACGUCCGGACACGGGCGCUUAUACCGCAUACUAUCAGAUGAUCCUAGGUCGGCUUAGCUAGUUGGUGGGGUAAAGGCCUACCAAGGCGACGAUCCGUAACUGGUCUGAGAGGAUGAUCAGUCACACUGGAACUGAGACACGGUCCAGACUCCUACGAGAGGCAGCAGUAGGGAAUAUUGGACAAUGGGCGAAAGCCUAAUCCAGACAUGCCGCGUGUGUGAAGAAGGUCUUCGGAUUGUAAAGCACUUUAAGUUGGGAGGCGUUACCAAAAGAAUAAGCACCGGCUAACUUCGUGCCAGCAGACGCGGUAAUAC